UUGUUGGGGUUGUAGGACACUCUAUACGGAGUUACAAAGGACGACAUUAGACGAAUCAUCUGGAAAGAUGAAUCAAAGAAGGUAAUAAUCCUGUAGUCGAAAAUGUUGUCUCUCUUGAGUGGAUCCUGAGUACGACGGAGCACGUGAAAUUCCGUCGGAAUCUGGGAGGACCAUCUCCUAAGGCUAAAUACUCUCUAGUGACCGAUAGUGAACCAGUACCGUGAGGGAAAGGUGAAAAGCACCCCGGAAGGGGAGUGAAAUAGAACCUGAAACCGUGUGCUUACAAGUAGUCAG
rnacentral:rRNA from 1 species